rnacentral:rRNA from 1 species
UACAGAGGUCUCAAGCGUUGUUCGGAUUCAUUGGGCGUAAAGGGUGCGUAGGCGGCGCGGUAAGUCGGGUGUGAAAUCUCGGGGCUUAACUCCGAAACUGCAUUCGAUACUGCCGUGCUUGAGGACUGGAGAGGAGACUGGAAUUUACGGUGUAGCGGUGAAAUGCGUAGAUAUCGUAGGGAAGACCAGUGGCGAAGGCGGGUCUCUGGACAGUUUCUGACGCUGAGGCACGAAGGUCAGGGGAGCAAACGGG